AAGAGAAAUGCGCUGCUCUCGCCUGGCUUCCGACUUCCAGCAGGUUGCUCAGGAGAGUAUAAAAGGGCGCGCUGGGUUCCAAACUUGAUCCGAAGUUGAUCCUGGAGAGGCGUGCUCCAUCGCAACGGUUUGGUGCAGAGAAGACACUUCCUCUGGGGGUCUGGCUGCCCCGCUCUGUGGGCAAACUGCUACAUGGUCUGCAUAAUCCAGAUUUCAACCUCCUAAAGCUGGAAGUAACUGAGCAACAUUGAGCAGAUUUAAACUCCAUCCUUAAAAAGAUGUAACACCAACAAAAAGGCAACCAGCCCACCAGACAACAGAGAGGUUUCUAUGAAAGUAAAGCUACUCAAGGAGACAGACAAUGACAUGGGUGAAGUGUGGAAAGAGAUUUGACAUAAUUCUAGGAAAGCAUUGAAAGACCUUGAGGAAGUAACAAUUAGGAUUUUUUUUCCUGAAACUAAAAAAUUCAACUAGAAUAACUAAAUAUCAGUAUUCAGAUUUUCACUUAUUUAACAAAAAAAGACACAGCUAACUUGAGCACGUGGCAUGCUGUGUCCCUCUAAAUGCUGUACCCAGAGGUAUCGCUGAGGAGGCUAAAGAGAAGAGCAAGCCAAGCAACGCUCAGUCACAGCGUUUGAUUACAGUUUACAGAGUCAAAACUCACAUGUGUCCAUGCUAACGUGCAUAGUAAUUGAAUGAAUCAUUGAUCACUCCCAAGGGGCUGCUCUUUGUAGAGAAAUAUCAAAUCAGUAAAUGUGGAAAAAGAAUGAGAGAAAUUCAAAAUUGCCAUUAGUGAUUCACCACUAUAAUAACAGUUGAAAGAUUUGCCAAGGAAGACCCGAAUAAGCAAGUGAAAAUCUGAAAAGAAACAGGCUAUAAUGCAGGCUGAGAGUAACUUUACAAAGAAGAAAUCUGACACUUCAUUGACUAAGAGUUUAGGUCCAUAUUCACAAGGAAUAGGACCUAUUGACAUAGGUGCUCAAUAGUGAUAUCAGAUACCGGGAAGGACAUGACAUCACUUCUGGGGAAUUCUUGCCAAAAGCUACAUAAGCUUGAUUUAUGUUAGGAAUCUGAAUUGUCAAGAUCAUGAAACUCAAGAAGAAACUAAGGGACUCUCAGUUAUCGGAGGCUGUUAAAAAGUCUCAGGGACUAACUUCCAUCAGGGACCCUGAAUUCUAUUCUAUAAGAAAACCAGGCAAUGGAGAUGGGGGAAGUGAGAAAUUUGCAUAUGAUUUGUAGUUUCAUAAUUAAUGUUAAUUUCCAUGCUUUUCAUAAUUGAAAUAUGGAUCCCAGGUACAAGAUAAAUGCAAACUCAAUCAGAUUUAUUAUUUUUCUAUAAAUCUAAAAUUAUUUCAAGACAAACAUUUUUCAAAAGCUACACAUGUGGCAGUUUCAUGUGGACCCAUUGAUUUUUUUGUGUCAUUUGCGUACUAACCCAUAGACACUACAGGGAUAUUUAUAUAUAUUUCUUUCCCAGUACACAUUUGAAUUUUCUCCCAAAAGCUGCUACUAGUGCAUGAGUAGACACAGGUGCUCAUGUAAUUUGCAAGGCCUGUUGAUAAAGCUCCAUCUAAUUACGAAAAUUGCAUUUACCAUACAUGUGUUUACACUCUGCACAAUAAGUAAAAUCACAAUACAAAAGUCAAUGAUGAGUGCAGCACACAAUUUAAAAUGUUAAUUGCCCCUUAGUGUCACUGUGGAUAAAGUGGUGUUGCAUGAAAGUGACAUCUUAGCACUAAAUAUAUAUAACACAACUCAUUUAAAACACAUUUUUGGCACUCCAAAAAUAAAAUUUUGUAAAUUUUGGGUACUGGGUAAUUGGUUUUCAUUAAGAUUUCCUUAAUUAGAUAUAUGCUAGAUAGGUUUAUUAGUGAUCACAAAGUGAAUCUAUAAAGCAACUUGUAAAACUGUAGAAUUUGCCAUGUAAUGGGCUAUUCCUGGUUAUUACUAUCAAGAGAAGCAGGGUAUGUGAUAGAUAGGCCACAUUUUGCUUAAUGUUUGCUUUGAGGUAUUUAAUUGUUCUAAAUAGGUAGUAAAUGUCCAUUUAAAAAGAAAAGCAAUACUUAGCAAGCUGCAUAAAAAGUUACUGCAGGGCUGUCUGUAUUUCCACCAGUUUUCAUCAAGUAAGUGAAAGCAGUCACCCUCAAUCAUCCCAUCUGCCUGAGUCACUUUCAGGGGGAGCCAGGCUGACUCCCAUGGAAACCACAGCAGGAGGGUGUUUCAGUCCUGAGACUGAAACCACUGGCAGCUUACAGACACACCUCUCUCUCUCUGUCUCCCCCUCCACCCCGCCUCUCUCCCUCUCUUUCUCUGGCUCUGCGUGCUACCCCAAAAUCUAAAUGGAUUUCAAAUCAAUUUUCUAAACCAAACAAAUACUUUAAAAAUUGCUCUGUGAUAUACAAACUGUACUCAUUAAGUCAAAUACUGGUAACAUUGUUUUUAAUUGUGACUACUCUGGUGUAGAUUUGGCAUGAACUAUAAAGAAAUUUAUAUCACAUAAUUGUGCAACAACCAACUUGCAGUUCUACAUGAAUGCUUUGGUAACACACAACAGAUAAAAUUAAAUGACUGACCAUAGCUUCCCUCUUUUAUAGAAUGAAAAAAAUUAGGGAGAAGGCAAACAUGUUUCAGUGAGAGAAAAUAAAAGAGACAAGAACUAGAUGACCUGAGAUUUGCAACAAGAAAAAGUUUCCCCAGCAUACAUUUGUAUUUUGCUCCUUUUGCUUGCUUGUAAGAAGUAAAAUGAGGGUGAAUUUAAGUGUAGUAUUACACAAGACACUCUAUUUAUAAAAAAUCUUUGGGAAUAUGUUUAUUGAUGGUUGGUAUGGAAGAGGAGUUAAUUUGUUUAAUAGUGGAAGUUGCAUUUAAAUAGUACAAUGAAUGUUUAAAUUCUAGAGACAAAGAUAAUUAUUCUUUAUAGUAGUUUUCCCUUCUCCCGAGGUGCAUCCCCAGAAAUUGACCCUUCAAUGAUGCACGGAAAACAACCUGUUUCAGUUAUUGUUUACUCAGUAUUUAUUGAAUUAAGUAUAUUGAGUGUUACGCAUCAGGCCCUGUGCUUGGUGAUGAAACAAUGUGAAACACAGCACUCUGCUGACCUCACAGGUGCAGACCCAGGAGAGGGCAGGCAGAUGCUGGAAGAGGGGUGAGUUCUAAUAAUUUCCCUUAGAAAUGGAGAUGAGGAAAAGCUGUGCUGACAAAAGAUGCUCAAAACAAUGGAAUGAGUCAACUCAUGAAUCUGAGGGGAAAGAAUUUACAGUAGAGGAAGAGCAAAUAAAAAAUCUAUGCAAAUAAGAGCAGGAGGUGAAUGGGAAGUAAACUGGACGGGACUGAAAGAAUAUUAGUGCAAAAAAAAAAAAAAAAAAAUAGAGCUACUGGGGCCCUAGCUGAGACUGGGGCCAGGUCAAGAUUAUGUUUAAAUCAAUGACGCAAUUUACCCAAAAGCAAAAUUUUUGUUAGGGAAAUGUGGUAUCUAUAAUUAAUUUGGCGGAAUAGGUUACCUGUGUGAAACACAUGCUCAUGCUCAUGUUGCAACCUUGUGUCUGUGCACUGAGAUGCAGGAGAAAUUGCUGAAGAGGGAUAAUGAGUGGGGAUGACACACACAAAGGUUUGCAGAGAAGAGAACGGCUUGGAGGUUGGAAAGUUCACGGUCCUCAUGCUAUGCGGAUUAGGACACUGCUUCGGUCGACUAAAAAACAACAAUCCUGAAUGUUUUGUUUGUUUUGUUUUGGUUUGGUUUGGUUUGGUUUGGUUUGGUUUGUUUUGAGGAAGAGAGAAAGAGCAUAGAUUUAUGAUACGUGUAACUAUGGGGCAGAUGGAUCCUGAAGAUGGAUUAGACAGAGAACACAGUGGAGGAGGGACUCCUGGCUUGAUUUCAAUUUCUGACAACGUGAGCAGUGCUGCUACUCCAGGAAACAGGAAACACUGAAAGAGGCCAGUGCAGAGAGCUGCAGAAGAUGCAUUAUGUGGAUGAGGCUCAGAAGAGGGGGAAUGAGGGUUGUCAUUGAAAUGAGCAGUAGGUCUCUGGAGAGUAUCAUAAGGGGUAGCCACAGCAUUCCACGUGGUACUUCAUAAGCACAGAUCUUCUGUAUUUUAGAAAAUUCUCUGAAAAACAUCUUUAUUGUCCUAGCAAUGAAAGAGCAGCUGUGAAUCCUAUGUCUAAGUAGAGAUUUCCAAAAAAUAAUAUGAUUAUCAUUCACUCAAGGAUAGAAAGAAAUCAUAAAUUGGUAAGGACCUGUGGUCUUUACACUUCAGGGUUGGAAUUGGGGUGGCAAUCACAUUGCCUUGAUGGAAGGGGAGUGGUCAAAAUCACGAGGCAGAAGACCCAUUAGAAUGCAAGACUGUUGAUCUCUAGGAACUAUUCUUGAUACCUAAUCAAAUUCAGAUUUUCUUCCACAUUGUAGUUAUUUUCUGUUAUUUCUAAGACUUCCAUAAUUUUUCUCUUAAAUGUUUUAGUCCCAUUGUUGCUUUGUGAUGGAAAAAAGGGAAAACUCGGAGCUUCUGCCAGAAGUUAAUCAUGCAAAAACAGGGAUGAUUUACUUAGCUUAAACUAGACACUAGUUUGGUCAUUAAACAAUUGUCUAAUGUUGGCCACUUAGCUAAAAUAUUUUACAAGGACCAAAAUGGGAUGGUAUAAAAUGACACUUUUCCUUCAGGGACUCCUGAAGACAGACCCAUUUAAAAGAUCUACUUUCCUAUAGUGUUGUGAUAGGAGCUCACCUCUCACUUAGAUGAUAUCUAGAAGCUUUAUGCAUUAGAUUGAGGUCUGCCUGGAUUUUGCUUAUGACUGAACUGCCUGGAAGUCACUGGGAGACUGUAAACCCCUUUCUAAAAUCAUUAUACCCAAGGAAACCUACUUCUUCAGUGGAAAACAAUUUACAUGGCAAAAAAUAGUGAGGUGCAUAAUACGAUUUAUUUUGGUAACUGAGUAUAUGAAUGUAUGAUAUUAAUGAUACCAUACAGUAUGUAUAUAAUAUCACACAGUAUGUAUGAUUGUACAGCAUGUAUGAUAUGAUAUCUCAGAAAACAUUUGCCUUCAAAUUAUGGAUUAUAAGACAAAGACUAACUCUUGAGUUUCUAUUAUGUUUUAUAGCAUAGUGUCUGUGCUUAAGCUUCAGUUUCACAAUAGAAGCCAAUAGAGAAGUAGGAAUUGUUCCAAAGAAGUUUUUGAAGCAUUUAAGCACCGUAUCAAUUGCAUACAUCAUGAAAUUUCAACUGUGAUAAAGCCAGUGUGCAAUAAAUUUCUACUAAGAAAGACAUCAAAAAAGAGAGAUUUUCUUUCUCUUAUACAAAUCAAAGUUAGAAUGUAUGUACAGUAGAAAAUGUGACAUCAUUCAAAGGCUAUCAUCACAUUUCCUUUACCCACUCACCUGCAGAGGGGGACACUUAGGCUGAGUCCUUAUCUUGGCUGUUGGGAAUAACGCUGCCCGGAGCACAGGAGCGCAGAUCUCAUCUUACUGGUUUCAUUGCCUUUGGCUCUACACCCAAGUUGCUAGGUUGUACAGUAGCUCUGCUAAUGUUUUGAGCAACCACUAAACUUCUUGCACGAUGGUUGUACUAACUGACAUCCUACCAACAGUGUGCCAGGGUUCAUGGACAAAUCUGGAGGACAUUAUGUUACGUGAAAGAAUUCAGACGCAGACAGACAAACGCAGUACUGCAUGAUAUCACAAAUGUGUGGAAUCUAACUAAGCUGGCCUCGUAGAAACAGAGUAGGAUGAUGGCGACUCCAAGGAUAGGGUGGCUGAGAGGAAGGGGAAGGAAAUGUUGGUCGUAGCACAUAAAAUUUCAGUUAGAUACAGGGAAUCGAUUGCAGAGAUCUUUUGUACCACAAAGUGACUACAGUUAACAAUAUGCCAAAUUCUUGAAAAAUACCAACCGAGUGGAUUUUAAAAUUUUAUCACCAUAAAAAUGAGAACUAGGUCAGAUGAUGUGUAUGUUAGUCCUGUUUACUCAUUGUACUAUAUGUAAUGCAUGUAUAUAUUAAAAACAUUAUGAAUGUUGUACAUAAUAAAUUUGUCAGUUUAAAUGACUAAAUAAAACUAUCAGCCUUCUCACCAA